rnacentral:rRNA from 1 species
GACGAACGCUGGCGGCGUGCUUAACACAUGCAAGUCGUACGGUAAGGCCCUUUCGGGGGUACACGAGUGGCGAACGGGUGAGUAACACGUGAGUAACCUGCCCACAACUUUGGGAUAACGCUAGGAAACUGGUGCUAAUACUGGAUAUGUGCUCCUGCUGCAUGGUGGGGGUUGGAAAGCUCCGGCGGUUGGGGAUGGACUCGCGGCCUAUCAGCUUGUUGGUGGGGUAGUGGCCUACCAAGGCGGCGACGGGUAGCCGGCCUGAGAGGGUGACCGGCCACAUUGGGACUGAGAUACGGCCCAGACUCCUACGGGAGGCAGCAGUGGGGAAUAUUGCACAAUGGGCGCAAGCCUGAUGCAGCAACGCCGCGUGCGGGAUGACGGCCUUCGGGUUGUAAACCGCUUUCAGCAGGGACGAAGCUUUUUGUGACGGUACCUGCAGAAGAAGCACCGGCUAACUACGU